AUACAGGCGUCACUAGACGCCACAUUUAUAUUACUACUAGGUUGUA
rfam:Cryptosporidium muris RN66 scf_1106632373407 genomic scaffold, whole genome shotgun sequence.